rnacentral:rRNA from 1 species
GACGAACGCUGGCGGCGUGCUUAACACAUGCAAGUCGAACGGAAAGGCCCUGCUUUUGUGGGGUGCUCGAGUGGCGAACGGGUGAGUAACACGUUAGUAACCUGCCCUUGACUUUGGGAUAACUUCAGGAAACUGGGGCUAAUACCGGAUAGGAGCUCCUGCUGCAUGGUGGGGGUUGGAAAGUUUCGGCGGUUGGGGAUGGACUCGCGGCUUAUCAGCUUGUUGGUGGGGUAGUGGCUUACCAAGGCUUUGACGGGUAGCCGGCCUGAGAGGGUGACCGGCCACAUUGGGACUGAGAUACGGCCCAGACUCCCACGGGAGGCAGCAGUGGGGAAUAUUGCACAAUGGGCGGAAGCCUGAUGCAGCAACGCCGCGUGCGGGAUGACGGCCUUCGGGUUGUAAACCGCUUUCGCCUGUGACGAAGCGUGAGUGACGGUAAUGGGUAAAGAAGCACCGGCUAACUACGUG